AUAGAUCUUUCAGAGACCACUAACUUUCAUAGCAAGAGAUAAAAGGUAUAAAACUAGAAUUUCUCAAUUAAUUCAAAGUUACUGUAUUUUCCAGCAUCCAAGUUGGAUUUUUCAUACAAAAAUUUACAGCCAAAACAAGUCAGUCAACUUAAUACAUCAAGAUGAAUUUGGAGAACCGAAAAUUCCAUGUGAAAUUCAGCAGGAUUUGGAAAGAUAGUGAAGAUGUUUACUCUUUUACUUGUUUCAGUCAUUUGACUGCGGCCAUGCUGGAGCACCGCCUUUAGUUGAGCAAAUCGACCCCAGGACUUAUUCUUUACAUAUGAUGAUGGAGUGCCAAGUAGGAAAAAAAUGAGCGUUUUUGACACUUGGCUUCUCUUCACUUUCAUUCAAGAUUCUAAAGCUACCAAAGUUGCUCAAGACAUUUGUGCUGUGUAUGGAGAAGAUGCUAUUACUGAAAGAACUGCACAGAAAUGGUUUACAUACUUCAUGGAGGGUAAUUCAAAUUCACAGACUUUUCACAUUCCUUCCAACCUGUUCAGUUCAAUGAGGAUUGAUUGAAUGAACUCAUCCAUGUAGAUCUGUGCCAAUCCACCUGAGAAUUGGCCCAGCAGGUGGAAUGCGUUCAUGAUAUCUUCAGCUGUCACUCUCACUUGAUGUGUAAAGUUCAAAUGUUUGCUGCAUGGGUUCCACAUAUUCUAAGUGAGAUAAACUCCAGCUUCUCUAUCACUGCCAAAUUGUUUGCUUAAUACUAGACAACUUGUGGACACAGAAAUUACUUCACUGCAUCACCAGUGAUGAAAAAUGAUGUCUUUAUGUCAAUAUGAUGUUGAAGAAAGAAAGGCUGAGGACUGACAAGCAACCAACAUCUUGAGCCAAAAUCAGAGCUGCAUUCACGUAAGGCAACAAUCUGUGUCUGGUGGGAUUAGGAAGGGAUAAUCUACUACAAAAUGCUUGAAGACAACCACAUGGUCAAUGCAGAGCUUUACAUUCAGCAAAUAGACUGGUUCAAUAAGGCAAUCCAGCUGAAACAACCCAACCAGUGACAACACUCACCUCACAUCAUUAUAUUGACCUCAAAAGCUCAAUUGGGAAGUUCUAUUGCACCCAACAUAUUCUCCUAAUGCUUUCACAUUCUCACCUUUUCUGGUACCUUUCCAUUGUUUGGAAGGCAUUUCAUUUGACAACGAUGUGGAGCUGAAACUGUUGCUCAGUGAAUUCUUUGAAUCAAGACUUAAUAAUUUACACUGUCUAGGCGUUGAAAAGCUAGUGGGGCAUUGCCAAGAAGUGAACAAUAAAGGAAAACAUAUCACUGGCUGAUUUGUCAAAAUUGUUGAUUAAAAACUUUUUUUAAAUAAAUUGAAAAAAUGAAAAUUUAUUUGACAAUCUA